UACUAUAUAAUAACGCUUUUGACACAAGCGCUAUAGUAGUCAAAAUUAAUAAAAGAAAUUUGUGGUUGCCGGGUGUCGAACCUUUGACCCCUUAGUUGUUGAUUAAUAAAUUAAAAAAUAUAUAUAGCAAAAAUAGAACAGUCCUUGCUAUCCCUUACUUUCCUAAUUCGUUUCUCACUAUCUGUCGUUCCUCUUUGAUCACUCACCGUCGAACCCUUGGUUCUUCUACUUUCCAUCUCAUCAAACCUCCAUCUUUAUCCUUAUCAAGUUCCUUGGUUUCAACUUAGCACCUCACCUCCAUCUCCGUCAAUCCUAGUUCUUUCGUUUCGACCCAACACCUCCAUCAUCGAACCCUAAAUCUCGUGAUUUCUCUCCCGACCCAGCAAUUGAACCCUAAUCCUCGUGAUUAUCAAACCCUAAAUUAUUGCUUUCAACACCUCACGCCCUUCUUUUACUUAUUUUAGGUUAUUAUAAGAAAGGCAUACCUGAAAGGUUUUAGGGAAAUACUUGUUGCUUUACAUGAGCUCAAGACCAUCCCACGGGGGCUGUAUCUACCAUUGGAGAACUUUCUAAUGCACAAAAGCUAAGAUACCAUUGGUUCCAAAGCAUAUGAAUCUGUGAGAAAUAUGCUACUCAUGGUAAUUACAAAUCAAAUGCUAAAUUCACUUUUGUGGCUGGUAAUUACAAAUCAAAUGCUAAAUUCACUUUUGUGGCAAUGUUCAGAGUGGUUCUGUCUAUUAUACUUAUCUUAGAUAACUGAAUUCUGAAGCUCAAAUGCUUAUCUUAUUUGUCUUAUGGAGAUGCUAUCUUUAGGAGUAGAGGGAGGAUUUUGCUUCUAUCAUAGGGAGAUAGAUUUGUAUUGGGGUGAAGUAGUUUUCUUCAAGUUUGCUUUUGUAUAUUGGGAUAUUUAUUGACUGUGUUCUGGUUUAAGCAUUCCAUAUGCCUUAUUAUUGAAUAUAGUUUUCUUUGCUUAUUUAGAUAUUCCUUAUACUCUGUGUGUUCUGGUUUAGAAAUUCUUUGCUUAUUUAAUAUAGCCGACAUUGAUCAUUGCCUGAACCUUAUUUACAAAAUGCCUAUAAGUGUUUUGUUAUGGUGCUGAAGUCAGGUAUAUCCAUUUCCUUUCUAAUUUUCGUUCGUGUUUCAUUCAUUUUAGUUUAACAUAUUUUUAAUCGAAAUUGGAGGCCUUGAAGUUGUGAUUUUGUGUGUGUGUGCGCGCGCGCGUGCCUGUGUUUGUAUCUCAUUGAAAAUCAAUUUUGCUCACCAUUGAACUUACACAUCUGCAGGUUAAGGGAAUUACCUAUAUCAGAGAUUGGAAGGCUUGUAUAUGUAAAAAGAGUGGUAAAGAGGACAAUAGUUUCGACCCGAGCUCCUCUAAGGGACUUUCAAGUGCCUAGAAUGAGGUGGUGUAUUUUAUAAAGAAUGUAGAGAAAAUUUACUGAUAGGAAAAGGUUGUGUACAUUGCUAGAAGUUGUUGCCACAAAAAGAGAUCACUUGCAUCCUCGUCGACGUCAUCAAGAUAAGUUGCAUGAAGUGAAGGAGGAAUGGAAAGAUUAUAUGGUCACAAAUAUUGUUCCUGAGGCAAAAAGUUUAAGCGACUUCUUGAAAACAUGAGAGAGGAGCUGGCUUGGUUGUAAAAUGGCAGAGGAAUGCUUAGGUUAAAUUUAAUUUGUUUGCUGUGGUGUUCUGACGAUCAUCAACCGGUUGCAGGAAAUGGACUGUUGGGAGCUUGUAGUAAAUCAAUUUUGUUGUCUUGUGGUUGGUUGUUUUAAUCUGAUUAAGGUUGAGGAUCAUAAGGACCUUUGUAUUAGCAUAAGUUUGUUUUGUUGGUUAGAUGUACUCAAAUAUUGUUUUAGACCAAAUCUAGUAUAUUUUUCAUGUUAUAUUGAAAAAUUACUUUUUAUUCUCUAUAAA